rnacentral:rRNA from 4 species
GACUCUCGGCAACGGAUAUCUCGGCUCUCGCAUCGAUGAAGAACGUAGCGAAAUGCGAUACUUGGUGUGAAUUGCAGAAUCCCGUGAACCAUCGAGUCUUUGAACGCAAGUUGCGCCCGAGGCCACUCGGCCGAGGGCACGCCUGCCUGGGCGUC